AACGAACGCUGGCGGCAGGCUUAACACAUGCAAGUCGAGCGGAUGUAGCAAUACAUCAGCGGCAGACGGGAGAGUAACACGUGGGAACGCGCCCUUCGGUUCGGAAUAACUCAGGGAAACUUGAGCUAAUACCGGAUACGCCCUAACGGGGAAGGAUUUAUCGCCGAAGGAACGGCCCGCGUCCGAUUAGCUAGUUGGUGAGGUAAUGGCGCACCAAGGCGACCAUCGGUAGCUGGUCUGAGAGGAUGGCCAGCCUCACGGGGACUGAGACACGGCCCAGACUCCUACGGGAGGGAGCAGUGGGGAAUAUUGGACAAUGGGCGAAAGCCUGAUCCAGCCAUGCCGCGUGGAUGAUGAAGGCCUUAGGGUUGUAAAGUCCUUUUAACGGGGAAGAUAAUGACGGUACCCGUAGAAUAAGCCCCGGCUAACUUCGUGCCAGCCGCCGCGGUAA
rnacentral:rRNA from 1 species